rnacentral:rRNA from 1 species
UAAGCGGAGGAAAAGAAACUAACAAGGAUUCCCCUAGUAACUGCGAGUGAAGCGGGAAAAGCUCAAAUUUAAAAUCUGGUGGUCUUUGGCCAUCCGAGUUGUAAUUUAGAGAAGUGUCUUCCGCGCUGGACCGUGCACAAGUCUCCUGGAAUGGAGCGUCAUAGAGGGUGAGAAUCCCGUCUUUGGCAUGGACACACCAGGGCUUUUGUGAUGCGCUCUCGAAGAGUCGAGUUGUUUGGGAAUGCAGCUCAAAAUGGGUGGUGAACUCCAUCUAAAGCUAAAUAUUGGCGAGAGACCGAUAGCGAACAAGUACCGUGAGGGAAAGAUGAAAAGCACUUUGGAAAGAGAGUGAAACAGUACGUGAAAUUGUUGAAAGGGAAACGCUUGAAGUCAGUCACGUCGACCGAGACUCAGCCUUGCCUCGGCUUGGUGUACCUCUCGGCUGACGGGUCAGCAUCAAUUUUGCCCCUUGGAUAAUGGCGAGGGAAAUGUGACACCUUUAUGGUGUGUUAUAGUCUCUCGUCGCAUGCAAGGGUUGGGAUUGAGGAACUCAGCACGCGCCUUUUGGUGUCGGGGCUUUGCCCACGAUACGUGCUUAGGAUGUUGGCAUAAUGGCUUUAAACGACC